GUUAAAAGCUAGGGCUAGGACUUGGAGGAUGUGUAGGCAAACGGAAGCAGAGCCGGGGAAAGAAAAACCGAAAUGGAUUCAUUCUCUGUCCUGGAGGGAGGAGGAGAGGAGAGGAGAGAAGAAGGGGACGUGCGAGCUUCCUUCAGCUGCCUCUGUCCGGUGGAAAGUGCUCAGACCCCCGGGGCUGCGCCGGCCUCAGGCUCCGCACGGACUUUCGCUCCAAGUUGCCAAUCAAGGCUCUCGCUAGCCACCACCCUGCUCUGGCACCGACAC
rnacentral:lncRNA from 14 species